GAAAGGGAAAAGGAGGAAGUAGACAUGAGAAAUGGGGCUGGGUAGGAGGUCAGAAAGCCUAGGAAGGAGGGGCCUGCUCAGGGCUGCAGGGCUGGAGCCCAGAGUCUUAGAGCUGGAGCCUUCGAACUAGCACCAGAGGGAGAGGAAGAGUUACUGACGCUUCUACUGGCCAGAAGAGUUACAGGUAGCAUUUGGCUUUUUUUUUUUUCUGCAAAUGAACCAGAGUGGGUCAUAUGAUUCCUAAUUUCUAAAUGACAGUUUUACACUCUGCUCCUACUAAGAACUUGGAGAAGAAAGUCAAGUACUCUGGGGGACCUUGGCUUCCCCUCCAAUAGACCUGGAUUUCUGCUUCUGCAGACUCCCCCAGGCCCAUUUGGUCCCCUCCAAGGCAAACACAGAGUAGAGGAAAGAGGGAAUUUUGCAAAUUUUUCCCCACCCCCCUCCCCAUUUCUAAGUCUGCCUGAGUAUUCUCCCCUAAGCCACAAUCACAGUCCCGCACUGGGGGCCCAUAGAGUCCUACAGGAUUUCUGUUCUUUCCAUCCCCACUACUAUGUGGAGUCCAAGGGCUUCCCCAGAUUGGCUAUAUUUCUUACAGAAAACCACCUUGCCCAAAGGGUUUUGAAACUUUUUUAAAUUAGAAAGUCUGUCUUGGUAUCCCUUUUAAAAGCAGUUUGGGGAAGAUUAUGAAAAUACGAAGGCUUAUCUUAAGGGAUUUCCUGGUGAUGGAUUGUAAUUAAUAUUUUGGUUUAAAAAAUUAGCAUUUGAAUCUGUGGUUUAGCUUAUUGUAUUUUCAAUCUGUAAUAUUCUCCCUGACACAGAAUAUUACAUAUAAACUUGCUAAUCCAAGUUUAUAUGAGAAGACACAAUUCCAACAUUUCAGACAAAGUGACAGGCACUGAGUUUUCCUUGUUCCUAAAAGUAAUACUGUCAAAAUUUGGGGCAAAAUCUUCCAGGUUUUCCCACUAUUAAAAAUGUACAUUAUGUAAUUGCACUAGUGGCGUUAAAAUCUAGCAUUUUCCUAACUUAAAAAAAAAAAAGCUCAAAACUGUUGGGCACCUCGUUUUACAGCCGUGCAUUAAAACUUAUUCUGUUCCUUUUGAUGGCUGCAUAGAAUUUUAUUGCACAACGUUUCUUUGGGGGAUAAUCAGAAUAUUCUUCAUCUUCUUUAUGGUGGUGGUGAUACAAGUGUAUGUCAGUGCCCAAAUUCAAUGAACUGUACAUUUCAAAUAGACACAUUUUAUUUUAUGUAAAGUGUGGCUCAAUAGAUAAUUUCUCUUCAAAAUUUGUACUUUGGCUAUGUAAUGAAUGAAUGAAUGAAUGAAUAAAGCAAACCCUUUAUUCAUAGAUCCUGACACAUCUGUAUUUAAAAGGCUAG
rnacentral:lncRNA from 1 species